UACAAAUGAGUCACAUACUGCAUUUUAUAGAAGAACAAAAAGUACUUGUGCUUAACAUUUCAUGGUCUCCAUCUUUCUUUCAGAAAGUUAAUUUGUCCUCCUUCUGCACUGCUUCGGCAAGAAAGAGCCAACUAAAGGCAUAAAUGUAAAUAGAGCAUCAGUCUGUGGUUUAUGGGAGAGAGCCUACGCAGCAAACAACAAAGGGCCUACGUAUUACAGCAAAAGCCUACACUAAAGGGAAAUGGCACUCGUAUAUGUGGAGAUGUUUGUUUGCGUUACCAUUGUGGGCCGCUCUUUGUUGCAUCACCACGGAACUACAGGCCUGCAAGGAAGUUUCCAGUGUGGUUACCAUGACGAGAGUCUUGGAGUCCAGGAAGCUCAUGUGUAGGAACAAGCUGAAGAAAUUGAGAAAUACAUGCCAGCGGUGAUCGUGCAAAUGUCUGUUUCCCACUGGAAAGAAGCUUAUACAGUAAGAUGCGCGGGGGCUGAAAACACCACUGAAGACCACUGAAGUGCAUAUAACCACCUGCCUGGAGUGAGAUAUUUUGCACCUUUACAGUUAGUCAUAUCACUCUCGAAAGCCCCCCCCCCCCUUUUACCCGUUUCUCCACAGGCAAAACAAAGAAAAGCCCCCUCAGAUGGAGAGGAAGAGAGAGAGGGAUGGAAUGAGAAAGAGAGCGAGUGAAAGAGAGUGAGUCAUGAGUGCAGCUUUGAACAACAAGGGGAAAUCCUCCUAUUGAGAGGCAUGCGCUGUGGAAACACUCAUCACUCAUAGAGCCAGGUAGAACACCCUAGCAACACCCUGGCAACCACCCAGAGUAACCGCACAGAACAACUUUAGCAACAGCCUGGCAUCAUAACUAUUUCACAGAGCUUUUCUCAGGCUUCCACUUCAGACUUGUUGGCUAGUCACAGACCACACAUGCUGGAGAAAGCUGAAAUUACAGCGAAACAAGGGCAGAGCUUCUUGUGUAAGCAGUUUUUCCUUGAGCUCCUGACAGUGACAGCUCCACUUUCACAGUAUGGAGAACCUCUGAAAUUCUGAAAAAGCUACUGCUUUUGUGUCCUGCAUAGGAAAUAAAGUCAUAUUACAGCACGGACAUUCUUGAAAUGACAGACAUGCACACCUACAGGAGCUCAGGGGUGAAGCCCCCCACGGCGAAGGAAACAGCCCGAGGAAAGGCCUCAUGCUGAAGGGAGAGGGGCCCGGUUGCUCCUUCAACAAUGGAAGUUCCUGGGAGAUUCUUGGAAGUAGGAAGGCAGUGAAACAAACAGCCCAGCGCAAACAUGGCUCCCGUCUCUUGUCACCUUCCUGCGAGGGAACAUAUGGCCAGAGACACUUUAGUGUGAUGAAAGCAAACACAACAGUGUCAAUCCGCAUCAGACCAACAGGCUGAAGCCCAAACGCUGGAUCAGACCUGAGGUGAUUCCCUGUGUUCUUGGAGGGUUCUGGUUUAAAGAGGAGCUUUUGAAACUCUCUGCAAUCCUUGUUAGGAUAUUUUCUUCUUCCCUGCUGAACAGCCCCGGGACACAAGCUUAACAUGCACUGACGUGUGUGUGUUCAGCCCUUCUACAGAUGUUGCAACUUUUGAUCGUAACAUUUCAAACGUUCAGUGUGUAAUGGUUGACAAUAAGGAUACAUUUAAAAACACAUUUGCUCAUUGAAAUAGUUUUCAUGUGAGAUCUGCACAGUUUCAGCCACAGACCCUUAAGAAAUAAACUUAAUGAUUGAAACAUGAAACUAACUGGAAGCGCUUUCAAAACUGAAGAUUUCUCAGGUCUUGUCUUUUUCGUCUCGCUUUAAACCACCUUGGUCCCUUUAGCACCUCUCCGUCUAUAACUUCAGAAUGUUUCAGGGGCCAGUUGUCUAGAAUAGAUGACAGCACAUUUACAUGUUUAAAGGCUGAAUGCAGACUCCAGAUUGUUAGGAGACAAUCCUCGCUUUCAUUCUUUCCAGAGCACCCAUGACCCAACAGGUUUAAGCACAAAAGAUGAAAGGAGACUAAGUGAUGGAGGUCUAAAACCCGUUCUGACACUUGUUGCAAAACCGUCAGGUCUUGCUUGCUGGUCACUUUAAGUCCAUUUAAAAUGUCGUUUAUUCCUGUGAUGCAAAGCUUAUUGUUCAGCAUCAUUACUCCAGUCUUCAGUGUCACAUGAUCCUUCAGGAAUCGGUCUAAUAUGCCGAUUUCCUGCUCAAGAAACAUUUCUUUUGAUGCUUCGACCCCUACUGAUUUGAAAUCCAACAAUCCAGUAAUUCCUAGAUUUAUUUGCAUAAUUUUCACGACUUGCAUAGGCACAUAUAGUCACCAGUGCAGCAGGUAAGCUUGGAAUAUGGAAACGCUUAUAUUCAGCGGAUGGAAAUAUUGCCAUUACACUGAAAAGAUGACCUGAACACUGUUGUGUAAGUUGUGGCAUUACUUUACUCUGGCAUUAUAUGGUUUUGCCCAUCCACAUCCCUCUGAUCCCGAUAUAAAUUAUAGUACUAUAAUUAAAAAUCUUUUUGGAAAACAAAACAUUUUCUUAUGAACUUAUGUGAUUUCUUUUGAUAAAAUACAACAUGAGUAUAUGGGUAACAGAGAAAUUACAUCUACAAUUAGCUUCACACUACGCAUGACAAUUAACGAGAUUAAUACAAUUAAUACAAUAACCACUGAGUGUUUGUAAUAACUUCUGACUGCGAUCCAAUGUGGAUUUUGGUCAAAUGAUGAGGCAGAAUUAUGUUGUUAGUAACAUUUUAAAAGAAUUUUAUGGGGAAGAUAUACAAUUACAACUUUUGUGGGGCAUGAAGGAAAAGUAAUAGUGUAACUAAUUACUGUUGCUAAAAAGUAGCAAGUAAAGUAAUGAGAGAGGAGUAAUGAGUUUUUGAGUAAUGAGCCUUACUAUUAUUAUCAAUGUUAAAAACAGUUGUGCUGCUUAAUUUUUUUUGCGGAAACUUUUUUUUUUUUUUUCAGGAUUCUAUGAUGAAUAGAAAGUUCAAAAUAACAAUUAUUUGAAAUAGACUGUCACUUUUAAUCAAUGUGAAGCAUGUUUGUUACUUUUUCCCCCUCCUUUUUAAGGCAGCAUUUUUACCAGGAGCAAAAAUGUAUUUUUAGACCUUUAAUUGAAUCAUACAGCUGCUGUGCUACUUACCCUUGAAGAGCCAACUAGGGCAGUAAGUCAAAUAUUUAAGCAGAGUGUCACUAACAUCAAGCGUUUUUAAGUACUAGUUAAGAAUUUGACUUUCAAAUAUACAUUCAGAUAACUGUAAAUGAUGUAAUGAGAGAAGACAGGCCCUCAUAACCACUUUUGAGGGUUGUCGUGGGAAAUGGAAGGGAAAAACCAAAUAAGCCAUUUUACUGAUCACACUAAAGUAUGUUUUUGCUUCAUAAUUCAGUUUACUCUAAAGCAAGGCUUGAGCAUGCAGGUUCAGUUAUGGGACUGCAGUUCAUAUGGGCAAGUCUGUGCUACUGUAGAAUUCCCUAGCAAUAUAACACUCCUACACUUUAAUGUUUUAUUGACCCACUGCAAUCAGGCCCUUUAGACUUUAAACAAUGUCAAGCCAGCCACCCCCUCGCCUUGACCCAAAUUCCAUCACUCAAACAUUCCUGCUUUUCUUUAAAGCUUUCAGUCUUGUGCAACUCUUUAUGUGUACCUGUGAAGAAACCACACCUUGACAUCAUGAAAUGAUGUUGUUCUAAUGUGAUUUUCUGCAAGGUGCCAAUAAAAAGAUCCAAACACAA